AUUGAACGCUGGCGGCAGGCCUAACACAUGCAAGUCGAACGAGUGGCGGACGGGUGAGUAAUGUGUGGAAAACUGCCUGAUGGAGGGGGAUAACUACUGGAAAGGGUAGCUAAUACCGCAUACCAUCAGAUGUGCCCAGAUGGGAUUAGCUAGUUGGUGGGGGGACGGCGCACAAAGGCGCCGAUGCCUAGCUGGGCUGAGAGGAUGACCGGCCACACGGGAACGGAGACACGGUCCAGACUCCUACGGGAGGCAGCAGUGGGGAAUAUGGCACAAUGGGCGCAAGCCUGAUGCAGCCAUGCCGCGUGUAUGAAGAAGGCCUUCGGGUUGUAAAGUACUUUCAGCGGUGAGGCGUUACCCGCAGAAGAAGCACCGGCUAACUCCGUGCCAGCAGCCGCGGUAAUAC
rnacentral:rRNA from 1 species